UUUUUUUUUUUUUUUUUUUUUUUUUUGGUGGGACCAGGAAACAUGGAACUGACUUGCACGGGAGGUCAGACUGGCUUAAUUUGUAUUUCCUUUCAAAGUUGUGUGAGAUACAAAUAUGCACCACAAUGUACCCAUCACUGUCUUCUUAAAAACUUGUAGGGAAACAAAAAUAUGAGAAAUUGCAUCAUAUUUAAAAGCGCUAGAGGAACUGACUGUAUAAAGGAAAUUUUUUUGGAUGGAGAGAAUUAUGUAAAGCCCAGCUCUAAUGUAGAUCUAAAAACAAACAAACAACAAUAACAACAAAAAAGACAGGCCUAAGAGGUGCUAAAAAAUUGGGAGCCAUUAAUCUUAUUGUCAAUAAAGAAGUAACUCAUAAGCAAAUAGCUCCUAAUUUAUCUCUUUUCUAUGUUUAACCCAUUAAUACCAUCCCCCAUUAUCUGCUCUUUCACUUUUUUGGUUUCAGUUACCCACAGCCAACUAUAGCUUGAAAAUAUUAAAUGGAAAAUUCCAGAAAUAAACAAUGCAUACGUUUUAAGUUUCCCACUGUUCUGAAUAUUGCAGUGAAAUCUGGCACCAUCCCAUUCAGUCCCACGAGGGACAUGAAUCAUCUCUUUGUCCAGCGUCUCCACACUGUCUUCCCUCCCCUGGUGUGAGUCACUUGGUAGCCGCCUUGAUUUUCAGAUUCGUUGUUUUGGUGUUGAGGUGCUUAUGUUCAAGGAACCCUUAUAUUUCUUAAUAAUGACCCAAAGGUACAAGAGGAGUGAUUUUGGUUUAUUGUUAUAAUUGUUGUAUUUUAUUCUUAGUUCUUGUUGUUAAUCUCUUACUGUGCCUAAUGUACAUAUUAUACUUUCUCAUAGUUAUAUAUGUACAGAAAAAAACAUAGCAUAUAUAGGAUUUGGUACUAUCCACAGUUUCAGGCAUAUGCUGAGGGUCUUCGAACAUACCCCCCAGGGCUAAGGGGGGACUACUGUAACAGUACGUCUUCUAGCAGAGGACUAAAUUUUAGAACAACUGGAAGCACUGGCAUUUGAAGUAUGAGAAAUAGUCAGGGCGAGGUGUUUAUUUGUAGGGCAGUAACUCUACUAGAUCAAAACCAUGGCCUACAUAAUCUUAUUUAGUCACACCUCAUUUCCCCUGCAAUGCUGGGAGACAGAAGAGACAUCUGGGGAAACCGAGGCUCAGAUAGGUGAUUCAAAGCCUAAAUGCUAAAGCCAGUAUUAAACCUUAUUCUAAAAAUCAUUCCAUUUAUCCUUCUGAAGUUUCUGUGAGAAAAGGGUAAGGAUGUACUGUGAACUCAGAAGUAUUCCAUGUUUACAGGUAUAACUAAAUUCAUUUUUAUUGUAUCUGUUGUAUUAAUACUAGGGUAUCAAUAGGCACAAAAUUCUCAUGGAAUCAGACACCAGACCACCUCAUGAUCACUGGAAGAUGUUUCUUUUCUACAUGUAAUACUGAAGCUAAAAAUUAGUUUCUGCUACUGAAAAUAUGUCUCUGUUGAACAAAAGGAGGCCGUUCUUUUGUUUGCUUUUUUUUUUUUUUUGCAAUAUCACUUUACUGUGACCCAAGAACUUAAAAAAACAAGUUAAUAUUAUCUUGUCAUUCUGAUAUGUCCAGAUAGUUAGAUCUCUUUAAAGAACUUCUUGGACCCUUAAAGCUUGUUUUAUGAACUAUGGAAUAAAAAUUCUGGUAUUGACCUAUUAACUCUUUUUUUCCAGUGUUUCAGGAAGUUUCUCUUCCUCCCAGGAAUUAACAGGCUAUCAACCAGACGCAAUAGAAAUAAGGAUUUUGUGGACAAAAGCUGUGUGUUUUAAAAGUCAGCAUAUACCACAACAUAGAUAAAUCUUGAGGGCAUUAUUCUAAGUGAUAUAAGCAAAUCACAAAAAGACAAAUACUGCAUAAUUCCACUUAUAUGAGUUAUGUAAAGUAGUCAAACUCAUAGAGACAGUCAAAUGGUAGUUGCCAGGAGGUUGGGGAAAAGGGAAAUGAGUUGUUCAAUGCAUAGAGCCUUUUAGUCAUGCAAGAUGGAAAGUUCUAGAGAUCUGUACAGCAAUGUGCAUAGAGUUAACAAGGCUGUACUGUAUGCUUAAAAUUGUUAAGGGAGUAAAUUUACGUUGGAUAUUUUUCACCACAAUAAGUUAAAAAAAGAAAGACAGCAUGAUAAAUCCUCAGGAUACCUGGGCACACCUUCUGAGAACAAUGUUGAACUGGAGAUCAAAGAGUGAGCUAUAAAGCACUACACUCCAGUGGUUCUGAUAUUUCAAGACCAUUUUGAACUCACAUCAGGUAUAAUGAACCAAGGACGGAAUUUUUUAACAAUCUCUGGGAGCGUCUCUCACAGUUCAACAGGACAUUUCAGAAUAUCCAUUCCACAAGCAUUCUCCAAAAAAAAGAAAAAA
ensembl:lncRNA novel transcript, sense intronic to GPC6